GCCAACUGGAGUCCAAUCAAUGAGAUGAGAUUGGAGGUGUUGGUUACAGCUGCCCUGCCCUAUAAAAAACACACACCAGUUCUGGGUUUGCUUUUCACAAGAAGCAUUGCCUGAUGUGAAUGAUGCCUCGACAAAAGAGCUCUCAGAAGAUGUACAAUUAAGAAUUGUUGACUUGUAUAAAGCUGGAAAGGGUUAUAAAAGUAUCUCCAAAAACCUUGCUGUUCAUCAGUCCACGGUAAGACAAAUUGUCUAUAAAUGGAGAAAGUUCAGCACUGCUGCUACUCUCCCUAGGAGUGGCCGUCCUGUAAAGAUGACUGCAAGAGCACAGCGCAGACUGCUCAAUGAGGU